rnacentral:rRNA from 1 species
UCCGGUUAGAGUGAACCAGCGGAGGGAUCAUUACCGAGUUUACAACUCCCAAACCCCUGUGAACAUACCACUUGUUGCCUCGGCGGAUCAGCCCGCUCCCGGUAAAACGGGACGGCCCGCCAGAGGACCCCUAAACUCUGUUUCUAUAUGUAACUUCUGAGUAAAACCAUAAAUAAAUCAAAACUUUCAACAACGGAUCUCUUGGUUCUGGCAUCGAUGAAGAACGCAGCAAAAUGCGAUAAGUAAUGUGAAUUGCAGAAUUCAGUGAAUCAUCGAAUCUUUGAACGCACAUUGCGCCCGCCAGUAUUCUGGCGGGCAUGCCUGUUCGAGCGUCAUUUCAACCCUCAAGCACAGCUUGGUGUUGGGACUCGCGUUAAUUCGCGUUCCUCAAAUUGAUUGGCGGUCACGUCGAGCUUCCAUAGCGUAGUAGUAAAACCCUCGUUACUGGUAAUCGUCGCGGCCACGCCGUUAAACCCCAACUUCUGAAUGUUGACCUCGGAUCAGGUAGGAAUACCCGCUGAACUUAAGCAUAUCAUUUAAGCGAGG